CCUUGAAAGUUCUAAAAUCCAAACUUGAUAAUGCCAAGAAAACUGAAAUAAGGGACGAUAAACAAAGUAGUUUUAUACUACGAUGAGAUUUUGCCGACAUAUCCAAGUACAUGUGCCACCUUGGAACUAUUAAGGACGGAUCUAGUUGCGAAGACAAAACCGGCGGCCAUCCGGGUGUUUGAUUAUUAUAAACCAGAAAACCGGGCUUUAGCAUUCUACCAAUCCAACCUUUUGAAAGACACUUCUGUUUGUCAUCUGUGCAGUACUUGCGGCUGUAUCUGAGCCUCAUUUACUGUUUAACAUAGCAUGACGUCAUGGCAAUGUAAACUCGGCAACAUCAAAGUUCUAUUUGUUUUU